AAGAAGAGGAAGAAGAAGUAGAAGAAAAAGAGAAAAGGAUAGAGUCCUAAUGCGAAAUUGACUGCGUGCAAACCAAAUUGAGGGUAAAAGAAAUGCGUUGGCGAAGUCGGUUCGGCAAUCCGUCGAGCCUACGCAAAGAUAUCGCCGAAAAGACGUUUUCGGCAUCAAUUGGCACAAGCGCGGGUCGCGGUUUUCGGGAAAGUGCGGGAAGUGAAUUUCUCGCGUUCAGGUAUCAGAUAAAGCCGAAAUACAAGUGUGGACUGAUUGGGUAGUGAGCAAGCAGUUUAGCAUCUGAUUAAGGGCCAUUUGAAGCUGUGAACUAGUUGAUCCAACAUCUAAUGAAGUAGAGGAUCAGUUGAUGCAGUGAACAAGUUUAUUCAACAUCAACUUACAAGUUGGAGCUGAAGUUGCAAUCCUUGUGGAACUUGGUGAAUUGCUUAAGCAGGGAGCCAGAAAUCAGCAAAGAAAAUCUGAAUUUGAGGUCGACGACGCACUAAUUACGGUAGAAGCCAUUCUAGUUCUAUUUACACCGAGACGCGCACGAUUGUUCUUGACACAGUUCGAGACGUGGAUUCUAGUUGUUGACACCACUACAGGUUUCAGUGAGAGCGUUGUGGCCGAAGAUCGAGGCAAGAGCCAGCAGCCUAGCUAGUGGACACCCGAGUACUAGUGGUAUACCAUUUUGGGUUCAUGUAUCAUCUAUUUUGAUGUACAGAGACAUGUAAAUGAAUGUGUAUAAAGCAUGUAAUAAUUAAAUGUUUCAGUUAUGUAAAGUUUUAAAUUACAGUGGAUUUCAUGUUUAGUUAAA